AGCUUAUAUUGUUGUCAGGAACUUUGUGCGCAUUAUUCUUUCAUGGAAAGAUUAUACCGCAGACAUAGAACAAUUUCCAGUCUUCCUCCGCAACUUACGUGCGAGGAGCAAACUAGAUUGUGAAGACGAGCAAGGGUUGGUUGCGCUCUUCAAGCACUGUUGAUGAAGUAUUGUUCCUACUUGAGGCAAGCGCACUUCAAUGGCAAGCCUCUAAUCGAAAUUUCAGUAAAGUCUCCGGUGCUACAUUUAUCCGAUAGUGACUGGAAUAAUCUUGUUACACAUUGGUCUCGACUGCAGCGUAAGAAGAACAUUCAUUCUCAAGGGACCACAGAAUCUCGCAACUAUACGGCACACUGCAUUGCUCUUGUGAGUACCUCUUGCCCUGUACGACCA